AUUGAACGCUGGCGGCAGGCCUAACACAUGCAAGUCGAACGAGUGGCGGACGGGUGCGUAAUGUCUGGGAAACUGCCCGAUGGAGGGGGAUAACUACUGGAAACGGUAUCUAAUACCGCAUACCAUCGGAUGUGCCAGGGUGGGAUUAGACAGUAGGUGGGGUAACGGCUCACCUAGGCGACGAUCCCUAGCUGGUCUGAGCGGGUGACCAGCCACACUGGAACUGAGACACGGUCCAGACUCCUACGGGAGGCAGCAGUAGGGAAUCUUACACAAUGGGCGCAAGGCUGAUGCAGCCAUGCCGCGUGUGUGAAGAAGGCCUUCGGGUUGUAAAGUACUUUCAGCGAGGAGGCGUUACUCGAAGAAGAAGCACCGGCUAACUCCGUGCCAGCAGCCGCGGUAAUAC
rnacentral:rRNA from 1 species